rnacentral:rRNA from 1 species
GAUUCUUAGCAACAGAUAUGUUAGCUCUUGUCACGAUGAAGAAUGUAGCGAAAUGUGAUACUUAGUGUGAAUUGCAGAAUCCUGUGAAUCAUUGAGUUUUUGGAUGCAAUUUGCACCUGAGGCCUCAGUCAAGGGCACGUCUGUCUGGGCAUAG